GAUCUCGAAAACCUGUCCCAGUUCGGACUGGAGUCUGCAACCCGACUCCACGAAGUUGGAUUCGCUAGUAAUCGCGCAUCAGCCAUGGCGCGGUGAAUACGUUCCCGGGCCUUGUACACACCGCCCGUCAAGCCAUGGGAGCCGGGGGCGCCUGAAGUCCGGGACCGCGAGGACCGGCCUAGGGCGAAACUGGUGACUGGGGCUAAGUCGUAACAAGGUAGC
rnacentral:rRNA from 1 species